rnacentral:lncRNA from 1 species
GAUUUCAUAUAUAGCUGUGGGAGUCUUCCCAAUGUGCCUCUUGUAGGAGUUCAGGGUUGCAUCAAUUACAACCCGGUGCUUCUCAGGAGACAGAUGGGGUUUGCUGUGGAGGGUCCUCCUCUCGGGCGAGAGAUUCAGGAGUCCUUCUACUUCCCAAUUGAGGGCAAUCAUGCCAAGUUGAGGCAAGUGUUGGAUGAGUGGCGUAG